rnacentral:rRNA from 1 species
GACGAACGCUGGCGGCGUGCUUAACACAUGCAAGUCGAACGAAGUGGCGGACGGGUGAGUAAUACGUGAGUAACCUUCCCUCCUUUUUGGGAUACGCCUUGGAAACGGGGUCUAAUCCCGGUUAAAGGGGGAUGGGCUCGCGGCCUAUUAGCUUGGUGGUGGGGUGAUGGCCUAACAAGGCGGUGCCGGGUGGCCGGCCGGAUAGGGUGACCGUGGACAGUGUGACGGAGUUACGGCCCAGACUACUCAGGGAGGGGGCAGUGGGGGAUAUUGCACAAAGUGUGAAAGCCUGAUGCAGCGACGCCGAGUGGGGGAUGAAGGCUUUCGGGUUGUAAUGCUCGUUCGCUAUCGAACGGGUAGGUGGAGAAGAAGCGCCGGCUAACUACGUGCCAGCCGCCGCGGUAAUUC